CCACCAAGACCUUCCUCGCUCCCACGUCUGGAACCAGACCCUUAUUUCAAAUCGGCUUCCCAGAGAGAAAGAUAUCUCCCCCCUGGGGGAAGCGUCUCGGGAGCCUGGGCCUAGCGAGCUGCUGCGCUCACCCCAGGCAGGCAAGGCAAGUCAGGCAGACAAAUAAAAAAAAAAAAAAAAAAAAAAAAAAAGAGAGGCUGGGGAGGGAGGAGUGGUGAGGAGAGUCAUCUGACACAUCCAACUUCCUAAGUUUGUUGUCCGCAGGAGACCGAUCCGCUCUAACCCUCACCCCUCAAAACCCAGAGAAGGCUGUGACAACAAUAACAAGAGCUUUCUCACUUUUUUUGGGGGGGGGAAACCAAAACAAAAAACCUUUGGGUUUCUUUUGUNGGGGAGGGAGGAGUGGUGAGGAGAGUCAUCUGACACAUCCAACUUCCUAAGUUUGUUGUCCGCAGGAGACCGAUCCGCUCUAACCCUCACCCCUCAAAACCCAGAGAAGGCUGUGACAACAAUAACAAGAGCUUUCUCACUUUUUUGGGGGGGGGGAAACCAAAACAAAAAACCUUUGGGUUUCUUUUGUCGGGGGGGGGGUGGAGAAAGAGAGCAGAGCGGAAACUACCCAGUGUCAGGAGGAAUGCCAGAUAUUUGGGGCUUUCUACCUACCACCGCACGGCCCCGGCCGCCACUAGGAACACAGGGCGAGCAAAGCCACUUCAGAAAAAACCUGCUCUUUGUCUCCGAAAAUGCUGCGAUCACUGGAGAUGCCGGCUACAAACUGAACAAAAAGAGGGGAAAAAAAAAAAAAAAAGAGAGACAGAGAGAGGGGGAGGGGAAAGGAGAGCAGCAGCAGAUCAGGUUGGGCCUCAGCCCCUCUCCGGCCCAGACCUCUUUCCAGACUAUCCCUAAGGAAGAUUUUAUUUCCCCACACACACACACAAACAGCUGGAAUUCCCGACCCUCCUCCCGGUGCGAUUAAGCAUCGAUCGCAAUUGGCGUUCGGCAGAGUAUGACAUGUGUGUAACUUUAAACCCCCGGAUAAAAAUAGCUCCGAUUCAUGCACGAUCGGUAGUCAUUUCCUAUUUGCUUAAAAACAAGGCAAAAAAUAUACGAAGAGCAGCUUUGUAGAGAGAGAAACGCGCAGGCUGAACGUCAAACAGAAGUUUCCUUCGAUAAGCCACCCUCACGCCACAAACAGGAGCUGGUGCUGCUCCUCCCUCCUCCCUCCCCACCCCCCCUCCAGAAAAAAAAAACACAAAAUCCAAGUAAGUUUGUUUAUCUCUCUCUGGAAACUAAAUCAGACCCAUUUCCCGACCCCCUGACACCGCCAAGUUAGAGCCACCAGAGCCGAGUCCUGCUGAGGGAGGUCAGGCACGUUCGGUCAACAGAGCUGAAAAACAUUUCAGCCACUCUUGUCAUUUCUACCCCUUCUCGGCACACACCGCCACCUUGUAAACAAAAACUAUUAAUAAAACAAUCCCAGAACCAAAUUCCCGAUGGUAU
rnacentral:lncRNA from 1 species